rnacentral:rRNA from 1 species
UGGUCUUGACAUCCACGGAAGUUUUCAGAGAUGAGAAUGUGCCUUCGGGAACCGUGAGACAGGUGCUGCAUGGCUGUCGUCAGCUCGUGUUGUGAAAUGUUGGGUUAAGUCCCGCAACGAGCGCAACCCUUAUCCUUUGUUGCCAGCGGUCCGGCCGGGAACUCAAAGGAGACUGCCAGUGAUAAACUGGAGGAAGGUGGGGAUGACGUCAAGUCAUCAUGGCCCUUACGACCAGGGCUACACACGUGCUACAAUGGCGCAUACAAAGAGAAGCGACCUCGCGAGAGCAAGCGGAUCUCAUAAAGUGCGUCGUAGUCCGGAUUGGAGUCUGCAACUCGACUCCAUGAAGUCGGAAUCGCUAGUAAUCGUGGAUCAGAAUGCCACGGUGAAUACGUUCCCGGGCCUUGUACACACCGCCCGUCACACCAUGGGAGUGGGUUGCAAAAGAAGUAGGUAGCUUAACCUUCGGGAGGGCGCUUACCACUUUGUGAUUCAUGACUGGGGUGAAGUCGUAACAAGGUAACCGUAGGGGAACCUGCGGUUGGAUCACCUCCUUACCUUAAAGAAGC